GGGGAAUAUUGGACAAUGGGCGCAAGCCUGAUCCAGCAAUGCCGCGUGGGUGAAGAAGGCCUUCGGGUUGUAAAGCCCUUUUGUACGGGAAGAAAUCCUGUCGGUUAAUACCCGGCGGGGAUGACGGUACCGUAAGAAUAAGCACCGGCUAACUUCGUGCCAGCAGCCGCGGUAAUACGAAGGGUGCAAGCGUUAAUCGGAAUUACUGGGCGUAAAGCGUGCGUAGGCGGUUCGUUAAGUCUGUCGUGAAAGCCCUGGGCUCAACCUGGGAAUGGCGAUGGAUACUGGCGAGCUAGAGUCAGGUAGAGGGUGGCGGAAUUCCCGGUGUAGCGGUGAAAUGCGUAGAGAUCGGGAGGAACAUCUGUGGCGAAGGCGGCCACCUGGACCAUGACUGACGCUGAGGCACGAAAGCGUGGGGAGCAAACAGGAUUAGAUACCCUGGUAGUCCACGCCCUAAACGAUGCGAACUGGAUGUUGGGCUCAACUCGGAGCCCAGUGUCGAAGCUAACGCGUUAAGUUCGCCGCCUGGGGAGUACGGUCGCAAGACUGAAA
rnacentral:rRNA from 1 species